ACUGGAAUGAACGGCUAAAUGAGGACAAAGCUGUCUCUUACGGCCUAGCCAAUGAAAUUGAUCCUCCAGUACAAAAGCUGGAAUAAACUCAUAAGACGAGAAGACCCUGUGGAGCUUUAAAACCAAGAUCAUUAAACUAUGCUCCUUGGAUUUUUAGUUGGGGCGACUUUGGAGCAAAAAAAACCCUCCAAAACAUAAAUUUAAUUAUUUAGACCAACACACCAAGAAAAUUAUAUUAGACCAGCAGUAUUUUUUACUGUCUGACCAAUGAACCAAGUUACCCCAGGGAUAACAGCGCUAUCCUCUUCUAGAGUCCCUAUCGACAAGAGGGUUUACGACCUCGAUGUUGGAUCAGGACACCCCUAUAGUGCAGCCGCUAUAAAAG
rnacentral:rRNA from 1 species